rnacentral:rRNA from 1 species
AUGAACGCUAGCUACAGGCUUAACACAUGCAAGUCGAGGGGCAGCAUGAACUUAGCUUGCUAAGUUUGAUGGCGACCGGCGCACGGGUGAGUAACACGUAUCCAACCUUCCGUUUACUCAGGGAUAGCCUUUCGAAAGAAAGAUUAAUACCUGAUAGUAUGGUGAGAUUGCAUGAUAGCACCAUUAAAGAUUUAUUGGUAAACGAUGGGGAUGCGUUCCAUUAGGUAGUAGGCGGGGUAACGGCCCACCUAGCCGACGAUGGAUAGGGGUUCUGAGAGGAAGGUCCCCCACAUUGGAACUGAGACACGGUCCAAACUCCUACGGGAGGCAGCAGUGAGGAAUAUUGGUCAAUGGGCGAGAGCCUGAACCAGCCAAGUAGCGUGAAGGAUGAAGGUCCUACGGAUUGUAAACUUCUUUUAUACGGGAAUAAAGUUUCCUACGUGUAGGAUUUUGUAUGUACCGUAUGAAUAAGCAUCGGCUAACUCCGUGCCAGCAGCCGCGGUAAUACGGAGGAUGCGAGCGUUAUCCGGAUUUAUUGGGUUUAAAGGGAGCGCAGACGGGAGAUUAAGUCAGUUGUGAAAGUUUGCGGCUCAACCGUAAAAUUGCAGUUGAUACUGGUUUCCUUGAGUGCAGUUGAGGCAGGCGGAAUUCGUGGUGUAGCGGUGAAAUGCUUAGAUAUCACGAAGAACCCCGAUUGCGAAGGCAGCUUGCUAAACUGUAACUGACGUUCAUGCUCGAAAGUGUGGGUAUCAAACAGGAUUAGAUACCCUGGUAGUCCACACGGUAAACGAUGGAUACUCGCUGUUGGCGAUAUACUGUCAGCGGCCAAGCGAAAGCAUUAAGUAUCCCACCUGGGGAGUACGCCGGCAACGGUGAAACUCAAAGGAAUUGACGGGGGCCCGCACAAGCAGUGGAGUAUGUGGUUUAAUUCGACGCAACGCGAAGAACCUUACCAAGGCUUGACAUAUACAGGAAUAUAUAAGAGAUUAUAUAGCUCUUCGGAGUCUGUAUACAGGUGGUGCAUGGUUGUCGUCAGCUCGUGUCGUGAGAUGUUGGGUUAAGUCCCGCAACGAGCGCAACCCCUGUGAUUAGUUGCCAGCGAGUAAUGUCGGGAACUCUAAUCAAACUGCCGGUGAUAAAUCGGAGGAAGGUGGGGACGACGUCAAAUCAUCAUGCCCUUUAUGUCUUGGGCUACACACGUACUACAAUGGGAGGUACAGAAGGCAGCUACCCGGCGACGGGAUGCCAAUCCCCAAAACCUCUCUCAGUUCGGACUGGAGUCUGCAACCCGACUCCACGAAGCUGGAUUCGCUAGUAAUCGCGCAUCAGCCACGGCGCGGUGAAUACGUUCCCGGGCCUUGUACACACCGCCCGUCAAGCCAUGAAAGCCGGGGGUACCUGAAGUGCGUAACCGCAAGGAGCGCCCUAGGGUAAAACCGGUAAUUGGGGCU